rnacentral:rRNA from 1 species
AGAACGAACGUUAGCGGCGCGCCUAACACAUGCAAGUCGCACGAGAAAGGGCUUCGGCCCCGGUAAAGUGGCGCACGGGUGAGUAACACGUGGGUAAUCUGCCUUCGAGCGGGGGAUAACAUUCCGAAAGGAGUGCUAAUACCGCAUAAGACCACGCCUCCGAAAGGAGAAGCGGUCAAAAGCCGGCCUCUAUAUAUAAGCUGGCACUUGAAGAUGAGCCCGCGGCCCAUCAGCUAGUUGGUAGGGUAAUGGCCUACCAAGGCAAAGACGGGUAGCUGGUCUGAGAGGAUGAUCAGCCACACUGGAACUGAGACACGGUCCAGACUCCUACGGGAGGCAGCAGUGGGGAAUAUUGGACAAUGGGCGCAAGCCUGAUCCAGCCAUGCCGCGUGGAUGAUGAAGGCCCUAGGGUUGUAAAGUCCUUUUAACGGGGAAGAUAAUGACGGUACCCGUAGAAUAAGCCCGGCUAACUUCGUGCCAGCAGCCGCGGU